GACGAACGCUGGCGGCGUGCUUAACACAUGCAAGUCGAGCGGUAAGGCCCUUUCGGGGGUACACGAGCGGCGAACGGGUGAGUAACACGUGGGUGACCUGCCCUCAGCUCUGGGAUAAGCCUGGGAAACCGGGUCUAAUACUGGAUAUGACUCCAUGACGCAUGUUGUGGGGUGGAAAGCCUUGUGCGGCUGAGGAUGGGCCCGCGGCCUAUCAGCUUGUUGGUGGGGUGAUGGCCUACCAAGGCGACGACGGGUAGCCGGCCUGAGAGGGCGACCGGCCACACUGGGACUGAGACACGGCCCAGACUCCUACGGGAGGCAGCAGUGGGGAAUCUUGCGCAAUGGGCGAAAGCCUGACGCAGCGACGCCGCGUGAGGGAUGACGGCCUCGGUGUAA
rnacentral:rRNA from 1 species